UAAAGGGGCAGAGCUCCUUAAAGGGGGCGUCUCUGAGGGUUGACGGCGCUCUGAAGGGACUUCGGACUCUGGAGAAUAAAGCAAAGACGGGCUUCUGGGAUUUGGGGGGAAGCCAACGAUGCGGAAUUCUGAGCUAGAACAUUCUAGCUCAUCUCUGGGGCGCACUGCGACCGAAGAGUGUUCCCUGCCCUUUGUGGGCCUCAGUUUCCCUACUAAAUCCCGCUCUGAUUGACCUUCCCAAGCUCAGAUAAGAGAAAGGUCCUAACGCAAGGUUUUCUGGGGCUCAACUCUGGCCUUCUCCAGCUUUCCAGGCCUGCCCCUUCCAGCGUGCCCCUGUAGGGCGGUGUCCCGGUUCCAUGGAGACCGAUCUGCUCCCGGCUCCUCUGCCGCUCUGCGCUGGGGGAAGUAGCGCUGGAUGAUGACCAGUUCCGGAGACGAAAACCGGGUCCGACGCAGCCCGAGACGCAGAUGGUAAUGUAGGACCGUGGGCCUUACCAAACGCUCCGAGGAGCUGACUACAGCGAAGAUCACCCAGGAGGGAACACACCGGACAAGUUGUAAAACAGACCUUUAUUAGUCUGGCCAGACGGCACUCUCCAAGCUCCAAGCUUAGAGAGGCGCCCGGCUCAGAGCCUGAGGUCCUUUUAUAGGAGAUGUUAGAGGGAAGUUGGCAAGCAGAAACACAGAAGUGGAGGAGAGGGAUAAAACAGACCUUUUACAGAUUGUUUUUAAGAUAGCAUAUUCAGAUAUGGAGUUGGGCAAGCAUGACGGAACACUACGCACACAACAGACCUUCCUGGCACAAUAACAAGCACAUCCCUGGAACUCUAUGUCUACCUGGUGAUCCGUAACAGAAGCAGACAAGUUGGGGCCCUAUUACAAAAUGGAGUAACUGUUGUUCAGUCUCACAUUCCCCACUGAUUUUUCCUGUGGCUGUGUAAUCUUAUACAGCAUUAUCUUGGUAUUCUUGUCUCCAUCUUCGCUCUUCCUUGUCUAGCUCACUUAAAGGAUGAUAUUUGGCCUGUUGAUUCAGAAUCAUUAGGCGAACGGAUCCUAUCCGGGUCCUUACCUAGGCCAUAAGCUUAUUAAUAAUGCAUGGGCCAAAAGUCAAAGCUAGUAACAAGAUUAACGGGGGUCCAGCAAGGGCAGAAACAAGGGUAGUCAUCCAGGAAGACCAGUUAAACAUUGACUGGAACCAUCCCUCCUGUUUUAUCAAUCUAUUAUAAUUUUCUUGUAUAUGUUUAUUUACAGUGGCCAGGGUUUCUCUUAUUAUUCCAGAUUUAUUAGCAUAAUAGCAACAUUGCUCUCCUAGGGCUGCACAUAGCCCUCCCUCUUUCAUAAACCCGAGGUCAAGUCCUCGGCAGUUUUGAAGGACCAUCUCAGCCAGAGGAUCAACCUGUUUUUCCAAAUGAGACACUGACUCGGAACCUCGGGGUCAGGGGAGGCUUCCUGGCCGGUCAGCCACCUCACUCCUGACUUAACAAACGGUUGCAACCAGCCAAAAGCUUACCUCCGGAGGUUUUCUGAGGUCUGUGCCUGAGAGUCUCCUGCUGGAUCCCGCCACGGAGUCUCAGCCGAACCAGGGGUUCCUACCUGGGGAUCUCGCUGGGGCCUCCAGAAUGUAAGACCAUGGGCCUUACCAAACACUCCGAGGAGCUGACUACAGCGAAGAUCACCCAGGAGGGAACACACCGGACAAGUUGUAAAACAGACCUUUAUUAGUCUGGCCAGACAGCACUCUCCAAGCUCCAAGCUUAGAGAGGUGCCCGGCUCAGAGCCUGAGGUCCUUUUAUAGGAGAUGUUAGAGGGAAGUUGGCAAGCAGAAACACAGAAGUGGAGGAGAGGGAUAAAACAGACCUUUUACAGAUUGUUUUUAAGAUAGCAUAUUCAGAUAUGGAGUUGGGCAAGCAUGACGGAACACUACGCACACAACAGACCUUCCUGGCACAAUAACAAGCACAUCCCUGGAACUCUAUGUCUACCUGGUGAUCCGUAACAGAAGCAGACAAGUUGGGGCCCUAUUACAAAAUGGAGUAACUGUUGUUCAGUCUCACAGUAACGUGCGGGGAAGGUGCACGGAGAGCCACAUCGGCCCCUCCUUCCUGCUUCCCCACUGGGUCAAGGUCACAGUGACCUUAUUCACACUGCCUGGCACAGAGGCGAGGGACAGAGUAUUUUAAUCAAAGAGUAGGAGCCCAAGCCUCAGGCUCCACCAUCUGCUAGAGAACUUCCUCGGGGGGUCAAACCUCAAGGUCACUGGGAAAUAAGCCCUGGCCCCUCAGUAUCUAACUGGGGUCCAAAACCAAAGGAGCUCUGGUGCAGGUGAACUAGGAUGGGCAGUGCCAGACAGGUAGAGAAGUUAAGGUGUCGCAGCGCAGGGUGCAGGAGAGGAGGCUGUGGACAGCAGGGGCCAUGCUGGGGCAAGCUUGUUUCCCGGUCAUCUUGCGAAUUUCCUAUGGACCCUCGGGGAUCCUACAGGGGUGUGGCUGAAUACAUUCAUCCCUGAGGAUGGCAAAGAAAAACAGGUUGUGGAACAUUGGUGCUUUUCCUUACCUUUUCACCAUCUCUCAGAAGCCCUGAUCUCUCUCCCCUCUUUCUCCUGGAGAUCACGAAUUUCAGCCUUUGCAUGUCCCCUGUUCCCAUUGUAAGGAGAAUGCCUAGAACCUAGUAAACUAAACCAUACUGCGGAAGGAGGGAUGCUCUCUGGAAUUUGCAUACUUUAAGAAAGAAGAUCCCUGGAGAAAGCAAUGUUUAACUGAAACCAUGUGAUAUGAUAAAAUGUUAAGGCAAGAAGAGAACAUUUCCAAGUAUUACUCCACAGCAACUGAUUACCACUGAUUCCAUGCCCAGCUGUUGGGAGAAUGGUAAUAAUAACCGGUGUUUAUGAAAUGCUUAUUAAAAUGCAGGUGUUGCACUAAA